rnacentral:rRNA from 1 species
GAUGAACGCUAGCGGCAGGCCUAAUACAUGCAAGUCGAACGGUGUCUUCGGACAUAGUGGCGCACGAGUGCGUAACACGUAUGCAACCUACCUUACAUUGGGGGAUAGCCUUUCGAAAGGGAGAUUAAUACCGCAUAAGACAGUAACUAGGCAUCUAGUAGCUGUUAAAGAUUUAUCGAUGUAAGCUGGGCAUGCGUCCAAUUAGCUAGUUGGUGAGGUAACGGCUCACCAAGGCAAUGAUUGGUAGGGGAACUGAGAGGUCAAUCCCCCACACUGGCACUGAGAUACGGGCCAGACUCCUACGGGAGGCAGCAGUAGGGAAUAUUGGGCAAUGGACGCAAGUCUGACCCAGCCAUGCCGCGUGCAGGAUGAAGGCGUUAUGCGUUGUAAACUGCUUUUAUACAGGAAGAAACGACUCUUGCGAGAGGCAUUGACGGUACUGUAUGAAUAAGCACCGGCUAACUCCGUGCCAGCCGCCGCCGUAACAC